GACAGAGGGUGCAAACGUGUUCGGAAUUACUGGGCGUAAAGCGCGUGUAGGCGGCCAUCUAAGUCGGGCGUGAAAUCCCACGGCUCAACCGUGGAAGUGCACUCGAAACUGGAUGGCUAGAGUCCUGGAGAGGAAGGUGGAAUGCUUGGUGUAGAGGUGAAAUUCGUAGAUAUCAAGCGGAACACCGGUGGCGAAGGCGGCCUUCUGGACAGUGACUGACGCUGAGA
rnacentral:rRNA from 1 species